UGCGGGAUGGAGCAGUGGUAGCUCGUCGGGCUCAUAACCCGAAGGUCGUCAGUUCGAGUCUGGCUCCCGCUA
rnacentral:tRNA from 2 species